GAUAAAUUUUCAUCUGAAUAUAUAUUAGUUUUAUUGUUAAUAAGUUCCUAAUAUGUUUCUUCAGUUUUUAUUUCCUCUCUCAUUCAUUUAUUAUAUAUAAGAAUUUUUAAAGUAUUUCUAAAAAAUGAGGAGUAUGUUUUUUUUUGAGGAGUAUGUUUUAAUAUAAAUACAAGCCACCAAAAUAUAUCAAUCAUGAACCUGUAGGUACUGACAACU
rnacentral:lncRNA from 1 species